rnacentral:rRNA from 1 species
GAGUUUGAUCUUGGCUCAGAUUGAACGCUGGCGGCAUGCCUUACACAUGCAAGUCGAGCGGCAGCGCGGGGGCAACCCUGGCGGCGAGCGGCGAACGGGUGAGUAAUGCAUCGGAACGUGUCCUCUUGUGGGGGAUAACCAGUCGAAAGACUGGCUAAUACCGCAUGAGAUCGAGAGAUGAAAGCAGGGGACCGCAAGGCCUUGCGCGAGAGGAGCGGCCGAUGCCGGAUUAGCUAGUUGGUGGGGUAAAAGCCUACCAAGGCGACGAUCCGUAGCUGGUCUGAGAGGACGACCAGCCACACUGGGACUGAGACACGGCCCAGACUCCUACGGGAGGCAGCAGUGGGGAAUUUUGGACAAUGGGGGAAACCCUGAUCCAGCCAUGCCGCGUGUGUGAAGAAGGCCUCGGUUGUAAG